GUUAAAACACCGGUUCUCAUACGAUCACCUAAGUUAAGCAACGUCGAUUUUGGUCAGUACCUUAACAGGUGACCGCUUGGGAAUACCAGGUGGUGGA